GCAUAUCAAUAAGCGGAGGAAAAGAAACCAACAGGGAUUGCCCUUAGUAACGGCGAAGUGAAGCGGCAACAGCUCAAAUUUGAAAUCUGGCUCUUUCAGGGUCCGAAGUUGUAAUUUGCAGAGGGUGCUUUGGCAAAGGUUGUGGUCUAAGUUCCUUGGAACAGGACGUCACAGAGGGUGAGAAUCCCGUACGUGGCCGCCAACCCGCGCUAUGUAAAGCCCCUUCGACGAGUCGAGUUGUUUGGGAAUGCAGCUCUAAAUGGGAGGUAAAUUUCUUCUAAAGCUAAAUAUUGGCCAGAGACCGAUAGCGCACAAGUAGAGUGAUCGAAAGAUGAAAAGCACUUUGGAAAGAGAGUCAAAAAGCACGUGAAAUUGUUGAAAGGGAAGCGCUUGCAGCCAGACUUGCCUGUAGUUGCUCAUCCGGGCUCUUGCCUGGUGCACUCUUCUAUAGGCAGGCCAGCAUCAGUCUUGGCGGUCGGAUAAAUGCGUGCUAAACGUACCUCUCUUCGGGGAGGACUUAUAGGGCACGCGGCAUACGACCAGCCGGGACUGAGGUCCGCGCAUCUGCUAGGAUGCUGGCGUAAUGGCUGUAAGCGGCCCGUCUUGAAACACGGACCAAGGAGUCUAACAUCUAUGCGAGUGUUUGGGUGUCAAGCCCGAGCGCGUAAUGAAAGUGAACGGAGGUGGGAACCCCUCGGGGUGCACCAUCGACCGAUCCUGAUGUCUUCGGAUGGAUUUGAGUAAGAGCAUAGCUGUUGGGACCCGAAAGAUGGUGAACUAUGCCUGAAUAGGGUGAAAGCCAGAGGAAACUCUGGUGGAGGCUCGCAGCGGUUUCUGACGUGCAAAUCGAUCGUCAAAUUUGGGCAUAGGGGCGAAAGACUAAUCGAACUAUCUAGUAGCUGGUUCCUGCCGAAGU
rnacentral:rRNA from 1 species